rnacentral:rRNA from 1 species
UUAUUUGAGAGUUUGAUCCUGGCUCAGGAUGAACGCUGGCGGCGUGCCUAACACAUGCAAGUUGAGCGAUUUACUUCGGUAAAGAGCGGCGGACGGGUGAGUAACGCGUGGGUAACCUACCCUGUACACACGGAUAACAUACCGAAAGGUAUGCUAAUACGGGAUAAUAUAUUUGAGAGGCAUCUCUUGAAUAUCAAAGGUGAGCCAGUACAGGAUGGACCCGCGUCUGAUUAGCUAGUUGGUAAGGUAACGGCUUACCAAGGCGACGAUCAGUAGCCGACCUGAGAGGGUGAUCGGCCACAUUGGAACUGAGACACGGUCCAAACUCCUACGGGAGGCAGCAGUGGGGAAUAUUGCACAAUGGGCGAAAGCCUGAUGCAGCAACGCCGCGUGAGUGAUGAAGGCCUUCGGGUCGUAAAACUCUGUCCUCAAGGAAGAUAAUGACGGUACUUGAGGAGGAAGCCCCGGCUAACUACGUGCCAGCAGCCGCGGUAAUACGUAGGGGGCUAGCGUUAUCCGGAUUUACUGGGCGUAAAGGGUGCGUAGGCGGUCUUUCAAGUCAGGAGUGAAAGGCUACGGCUCAACCGUAGUAAGCUCUUGAAACUG